rnacentral:lncRNA from 1 species
UGAUGGGCAGUGGUACCUUCCAGUUCAGUAGAAACAUUGUUGUGUCGCUGGGUGGAUACAUUUCUUCCUUUGGAACCAAGACCUCUGAGCCAACACAGCAUAAGGUCAUGAGGAUGGGAAGCAGAAAUUUUUCUAGUGGAUCACUAAAGAUCACUCAUCCUGGGAGAUACCAUCAGCCACGUUAUGAGACUACUCCAGCAGUUCUGUGGUGAGGAAGCAACUUUCCAGCAACAACUCAUUAUCUAUGGGAUUAUGUCACCUGGAAGUGAAUUUUCUAGCCUCAGUCAAGCCUUCAGAUAAUUGCAGCCUCAGCUCACAUCUGACUACAAACUCAUGAGAGAUUUCAAUCCAGAAACACUCAAGCCAGAAACUUCCAAAUUCCUGACCCAGAGAAAUUGUAACAGAUAGUAAAUUAGAUUACUAUUGUUUUAAGCCAUGUUUUGAGGGUGAUUUGCCUGCAGCAAUAGAUAACUAACACAGGGACAACCUGGUAU